rnacentral:rRNA from 1 species
UGAACGCUGGCGGCAGGCCUAACUCAUGCACGUCGAACGGUAGCACAGGGAGCUUGCUCUCGGGUGACGAGUGGCGGACGGGUGAGUAAUGUCUGGGAAACUGCCUGAUGGAGGGGGAUAACUACUGGAAACGGUAGCUAAUACCGCAUAACGUCGCAAGACCAAAGAGGGGGACCUUCGGGCCUCUUGCCAUCAGAUGUGCCCAGAUGGGAUUAGCUAGUAGGUGGGGUAACGGCUCACCUAGGCGACGAUCCCUAGCUGGUCUGAGAGGAUGACCAGCCACACUGGAACUGAGACACGGUCCAGACUCCUACGGGAGGCAGCAGUGGGGAAUAUUGCACAAUGGGCGCAAGCCUGAUGCAGCCAUGCCGCGUGUAUGAAGAAGGCCUUCGGGUUGUAAAGUACUUUCAGCGGGGAGGAAGGUGUUGAGGUUAAUAACCGGAGCAAUUGACGUUACCCGCAGAAGAAGCACCGGCUAACUCCGUGCCAGCAGCCGCGGUAAUACGGAGGGUGCAAGCGUUAAUCGGAAUUACUGGGCGUAAAGCGCACACAGGCGGUCUGUCAAGUCGGAUGUGAAAUCCCCGGGCUCAACCUGGGAACUGCAUUCGAAACUGGCAGGCUGAGUCUUGUAGAGGGGGGUAGAAUUCCAGGU